GCCCUUACUGCUCAGUAACACGUGGAUAAUCUGCCCUUAGGUAAGGGAUAAUCUCGGGAAACUGAGAAUAAUACCUUAUAGAUGUUCUAUGCUGGAAUGCUUGAACGUUGAAACCUUUUGGGCCUAAGGAUGAGUCUGCGGCUUAUCAGGCUGUAGUGGGUGUAAUGGACCCACUAACCUAAGACGAGUAUGGGCUUUGGGAGAAGUAGCCCAGAGAUGGAUUCUGAGACACGAAUCCAGGUCCUACGGGGCGCAGCAGGCGCGAAACCUUCACAAUGUGGGAAACCACGAUGAGGGAACUCCAAGUGCUAACGCUUUGCGUUAGCUGUUCUUAUGUUUAAAUUGCAUGAGGAGAAAGAGCCGGGUAAGACGGGUGCCAGCCGCCGCGGUAAUACCCGCGGCUCAAGUGGUGCUCAUUAUUAUUGAGCCUAAAACGUUCGUAGCCGGUUUAGUAAAUUUUUGGGUAAAUAGAAUAGCUUAACUAUUCGAAUUCCGAAGAAACUGCUAAACUCGGGAUUGGGAGAGGUGAAAUGUACUUUCAGGGUAGGGGUAAAAUCCUGUAAUCCUGGAAGGACAACCAGUGGCGAAGGCGUUUCACUAGAACAAAUCCGACGGUGAGGAACUAAGCUCUAGGGCGCAAACGGGAUUAGAUACCCCGGUAGUCUAGGGUGUAAACGCUGCAGACUUGGUGUUAGGUUUCCUGAGGGGGGACUUAGUGCCGGAGAGAAGUUGUUAAGUCUGCUGCUUGGGGAGUACGGUCGCAAGACUGAAACUUAAAGGA
rnacentral:rRNA from 1 species